UUUAAUAUGGCAGAAAUAAAAUUAGUGCAAAGGAUUUAAAUUCCUUAAAUAAAGAAAUUCUUUUAUUAAAA
rnacentral:tRNA from 1 species